rnacentral:rRNA from 1 species
UACAGAGGUCUCAAGCGUUGUUCGGAUUCAUUGGGCGUAAAGGGUGCGUAGGUGGCGCGCUAAGUCAGGUGUGAAAUUUCGGAGCUUAACUCCGAAACUGCAUUUGAUACUGGCGUGCUUGAGGACUGGAGAGGAGACUGGAAUUUACGGUGUAGCAGUGAAAUGCGUAGAGAUCGUAAGGAAGACCAGUGGCGAAGGCGGGUCUCUGGACAGUUCCUGACACUGAGGCACGAAGGCCAGGGGAGCAAACGGG